rnacentral:tRNA from 1 species
GCCUGUGGCUCAUUGAGUAGGGCGCCAGCCUCAUAUACUGAGGGUGGCUGGUUUGAACCCAGCCCCAGGCA